rnacentral:rRNA from 1 species
AACGAACGCUGGCGGCAGGCUUAACACAUGCAAGUCGAACGCCCCGCAAGGGGAGUGGCAGACGGGUGAGUAACGCGUGGGAACAUACCCUUUCCUGCGGAAUAGCUCUGGGAAACUGGAAUUAAUACCGCAUACGCCCUACGGGGGAAAGAUUAAUCGGGGAAGGAUGGGCCCGCGUGGGAUUAGCUGGUUGGUGGGGUAAAGGCCUACCAAGGCGACGAUCCAUAGCUGGUCUGAGAGGAUGAUCAGCCACAUUGGGACUGAGACACGGCCCAAACUCCUACGGGAGGCAGCAGUGGGGAAUAUUGGACAAUGGGCGCAAGCCUGAUCCAGCCAUGCCGCGUGAGUGAUGAAGGCCUUAGGGUUGUAAAGCUCUUUCACCGAUGAAGAUAAUGACGGUAGUCGGAGAAGAAGCCCCGGCUAACUUCGUGCCAGCCGCCGCUGUAAAAC